GUAACACGUGGGAACGUGCCUUUAGGUUCGGAAUAAGCCCGGGAAACUGGGUCUAAUACCAGAUGUGCCCUUCGGGGGAAAGAUUUAUCGCCUUUAGAGCGGCCCGCGUCUGAUUAGCUAGUUGGUGGUGUAAUGGACCACCAAGGCUACGAUCAGUAGCUGGUCUGAGAGGAUGACCAGCCACAUUGGGACUGAGACACGGCCCAAACUCCUACGGGAGGCAGCAGUGGGGAAUCUUGCGCAAUGGGCGAAAGCCUGACGCAGCCAUGCCGCGUGUAUGAUGAAGGGCUUAGGAUUGUAAAAUACUUUCACCGGUGAAGAUAAUGACUGUAGCCGGAGAAGAAGCCCCGGCUAACUUCGUGCCAGCAGCCGCGGUAAUACGAAGGGGGCUAGCGUUGCUCGGAAUUACUGGGCGUAAAGGGAGCGUAGGCGGACAUUUAAGUCAGGGGUGAAAUUCCAGAGCUCAACUCUGGAACUGCCUUUGAUACUGGGUGUCUUGAGUGUGAUAGAGGUAUGUGGAACUCCGAGUGUAGAGGUGAAAUUCGUAGAUAUUCGGAAGAACACCAGUGGCGAAGGCGACAUACUGGAUCAUUACUGACGCUGAGGCU
rnacentral:rRNA from 1 species